rnacentral:tRNA from 1 species
GCGCCCGUAGCUCAACUGGAUAGAGUACCUGGCUUCGAACCAGGCGGUUGUAGGUUCGAGUCCUACCGGGCGCA